rfam:Acetobacteraceae bacterium AT-5844 genomic scaffold Scfld132, whole genome shotgun sequence.
GUGCCCGUAGCUCAGCCGGUAGAGCACGUGACUUUUAAUCAUGGGGUCCUGGGUUCGAGUCCCAGCGGGCACA